rnacentral:rRNA from 1 species
GACGUAGGGCGCGAGCGUUGUCCGGAUUUAUUGGGCGUAAAGAGCUCGUAGGUGGUUUGUCGCGUUGUUCGUGAAAUCUCACGGCUUAACUGUGAGCGUGCGGGCGAUACGGGCAGACUUGAGUACUGCAGGGGAGACUGGAAUUCCUGGUGUAGCGGUGGAAUGCGCAGAUAUCAGGAGGAACACCGGUGGCGAAGGCGGGUCUCUGGGCAGUAACUGACGCUGAGGAGCGAAAGCGUGGGGAGCGAACAGG